rnacentral:ncRNA from 2 species
UGCAUAUCGUCGGCGAUAGGUGCCUUUAUGUGCAAGCCGCAUAAAGGGUAACAGGGAAUCGGGUGAAAGUCCCGAGCGGUCCCGCCACUGUAAUCAGGGAGUUCUCUUUGAGAUAGAGCCACUCAUAUUCAUAUGGGGAAGGACAAAGAGCGCGAUGAGCUGAAAGCCAGGAGACCUACCUACUUGCCACACCCAGG